rnacentral:rRNA from 1 species
AUUGAACGCUGGCGGCAGGCCUAACACAUGCAAGUCGAACGGUAACAGGAAGCAGCUUGCUGCUUCGCUGACGAGUGGCGGACGGGUGAGUAAUGUCUGGGAAACUGCCUGAUGGAGGGGGAUAACUACUGGAAACGGUAGCUAAUACCGCAUAACGUCGCAAGACCAAAGAGGGGGACCUUAGGGCCUCUUGCCAUCGGAUGUGCCCAGAUGGGAUUAGCUAGUAGGUGGGGUAACGGCUCACCUAGGCGACGAUCCCUAGCUGGUCUGAGAGGAUGACCAGCCACACUGGAACUGAGACACGGUCCCGACUCCUACGGGAGGCAGCAGUGGGGAAUAUUGCACAAUGGGCGAAAGCCUGAUGCAGCCAUGCCGCGUGUAUGAAGAAGGCCUUCGGGUUGUAAAGUACUUUCAGCGGGGAGGAAGGGAGUAACGUUAAUACCUUAGCUCAUUGACGUUACCCGCAGAAGAAGCACCGGCUAACUCCGUG